CUAAUGGAGUUUUUUACUUUUUCUUUUCAUCUUUAAUAAAGAUAAAUACUAAACAAAACAUCAAAAUCCAUUUAUUUAUCGGUGGUAAAUUAAACCCAAAUCCCUGUUUGGUCUCACAACUAACAUAUUUGGUCAGAUUGUAUCCAGUUCUGAAAGAACAUUUCCGCUUCUUUCAAAACUGAAAACGACAAUCUUUCUAGUUCCAAAUAAAUACCAAAGGAUCAAUACAAUAAGUUACUAAGGGCUUAUGGUG
rnacentral:misc_RNA from 1 species